rnacentral:rRNA from 1 species
CAUGAAGCUGGAUUCGCUAGUAAUCGCGCAUCAGCCACGGCGCGGUGAAUACGUUCCCGGGCCUUGUACACACCGCCCGUCAAGCCAUGGAAGCCGGGGGUGCCUGAAGUGCGCUGCCGCAAGGAGCGCCCUAGGGUAAAACCGGUGACUGGGGCUAAGUCGUAACAAGGUAUC